CGUUGGCUUUGAAAGCCACAGGUCGGUGGUUCAAUUCCACCCGGGCACA
rnacentral:tRNA from 1 species